GAUAAUAUGGCUGAGGUUAUUAGGCGAUAGACUGUAAAUCUAUAUAGGGAUGUAAAUCCUAUUAUCA
rnacentral:tRNA from 1 species